UUAUUUAUUUAAAGGGGGUGCCUCGGUUUGCUUGCAAAGUAAAGAAGAAAGAAGAAAAAAAGUAAGAGAAGGAAACUCCCCCCUUCUUCCUUGAAGCAGCACACGCCCCCUCCCUCGUGAGAUCCAGUCACCAAUCGCAGCUUCCGCCAGAUGUCGUAGUCGACCGCCACCCAUCCACCAUGAAGCAUGUUGGCGGUCGUAGCACGCAUCCUCUCGAGCGGUCGUUAUUCGUCACGCUUGAUGCCGUCAGAAGUCGUCCGUUUCUCACAGCCCAACCCAACUCGUUGUUCACCACGAAGCUCCGUCGCGGUCGUCGCUGUCAUUAGCGCCCGCGAAAGAUUUUGUCUGGAUAGCUUCAAAUCUACUUGAGUGACUUUGUUCAUGCGUUUGUUUGGGUAAGGUUUGGUUGUUUAUGGUCGGUUUCUUGAGUUUCUUGAAAGAUCUUGGCUAUCUAGUGUAAUUUUAGUCCGAGAUUGGUUCAAUUUUGAAUUUAGAAGACUGAAGUUGAAGUUUUAAGGUGUUUUAGUGGGCUGUCCAACUCUUCAUUGGAUCAAUUUUGGCAAGUUUUAGGUAAGUUAUAUGGGGAUUGUUGGAAUAAAUUGUGUAUGUUUUGGGGAUUGGCCCCACAAGUUGAACUGUAUGUUUAUGGUUGGUGUUAGGAACUUUGAUUCAAGCAUUCACUAAACUAAGAGGAAGGUUCAGUUGCUUGAUUGCUUGGGUUAAUUCCUGUCUCUAAAACUCAAGCAAUUGUAGGAAUCGAUCGCAUGCGUUGAUCCCAGUUCAUCGCAGAGUUGAUCGCAUGCGUUAAUCUUCAAGAAGACAAGUUCAUCGUAUGGAUGUUGCAGCUACAAAGUAAUAGAAGGUUGAUCGCAAGGUGGGUGGAAUGCGUUGGUACUUCAGGAGAAACGAGCAUGAAUGCAUACCUUGGGAGUAUCAACAAGAUAAGGUGAUGUUGACAUUGCCCAUACCACGAAAAAGGUAGCAAUGAGUCAGAAUGCAAUCAUCAACGCUGUCGGCGUUUGAGCUCUAUAAAUAGCACCUUGGAUCUUCACUUCAAAUCAUCCGAGUUUCCGCCUUAAGGUAGAUCCUUGUGAUCACAGAUGAGAGCAUGAGCAGACACUCUUUGAGGAUUCUUCAUCUCCACAGCCCCUUCCGAGUGACGACCGGAGUUUUCCCAGAGAUAGAGCUCGAGAGAGACUUCUCCACCAUCCAUUCAUGACACCACCGACGGUCUUGACGUACAUCUGAUGGAAGUAAAAGAUUGCCUACAUCUAGCCCUCCAUCUUUCUUCUUGUUACAUUUCGACUUAAGACAUUAAUACAUUUUGUAAUCAAUGUAUCUCUUUAGUUCCUUCAA